CAGGCUUAACACAUGCAAGUCGAGGGGUAGCAGGGUAGCAAUACCGCUGACGACCGGCGCACAGGUGAGUAACACGUAUCCAACCUUCCCAUAACUCGGGGAUAGCCUUUCGAAAGAAAGAUUAAUACCCGAUAGUACUUUUUUAGGGCAUCUUAGAAAAGUUAAAGAUUUAUUGGUUAUGGAUGGGGAUGCGUUCCAUUAGAUAGUUGGUGAGGUAACGGCUCACCAAGUCUUCGAUGGAUAGGGGUUCUGAGAGGAAGGUCCCCCACAUUGGUACUGAGACACGGACCAAACUCCUACGGGAGGCAGCAGUGAGGAAUAUUGGUCAAUGGGCGAGAGCCUGAACCAGCCAAGUAGCGUGAAGGAUGACGG
rnacentral:rRNA from 1 species